UACCUGCAGCUCGAGUGGUAACCGCUAUUAUUGGGCCUAAAGCGUCCGUAGCCGGUUUGGUAAAUAUCUGGGUAAAUCGUGAGGCUUAACUUCACGAACUUCGGAUAGACUGCCAGACUUGGGAUCGGGGGAGGUCAGAGGUACUCCAGGGGUAGCGGUGAAAUGUUGUAAUCCUUGGAGGACCACCGGUAGCGAAGGCGUCUGACUAGAACGAGUCCGACGGUGAGGGACGAAGCCCUGGGGCGCAAACCGGAUUAGAUACCCGGGUAGUCCAGAGUGUAAACUAUGUGGGCUUUGUGUUGGAGGUCCCACGUGGGCGUCCAGUGCAGAAGAGAAGUUGUUAAGCCCACCGCCUGGGAAGUACGGUCGCAAGGCUGAAACUUAAAGGAAUUGGCGGGGAGCACAGCAACGGGAGGAGCGUGCGGUUU
rnacentral:rRNA from 1 species